GUCAGGAUGGCUGAGCGGUCUAAGGCGCUGCGUUCAAGUCGCAGUCCACUUGUGUGGACGUGGAUCGAAUCCUACUUUUGACA